rnacentral:rRNA from 1 species
CCUACGGUGCGCAGCAGUGAGGAAUAUUGGUCAAUGGGCGGAAGCCUGAACCAGCCAAGUCGCGUGAGGGAAUAAGGCCCUACGGGUCGUAAACCUCUUUUGCCGGGGAGCAAGGGCCGGGACGCGUCCCGGCCCGGAGAGUACCCGGAGAAAAAGCAUCGGCGAACUCCGAGCCAGCAGCCGCGGGAAUACGGGGGGUGCGAGCGGUAUCCGGAUUUAUUGGGUUUAAAGGGGGCGUAGAUGGGUUUUUAAGUCAGUUGUGAAAGUUUGCGGCUCAACCGUAAAAUUGCAAUUGAUACUGGCAGUCUUGAGUACAGUUGAGGUAGGCGGAAUUCGUGGUGUAGCGGUGAAAUGCUUAGAUAUCACGAAGAACUCCGAUUGCGAAGGCAGCUUACUAAACUGCCACUGACAUUGAUGCUCGAAAGUGUGGGUAUCAAACAGGAUUAGAUACCCCGGUAGUC